CCUACGGGAGGCAGCAGUGGGGAAUAUUGCACAAUGGGGGAAACCCUGAUGCAGCGACGCCGCGUGAAGGAAGAAGUAUCUCGGUAUGUCAACUUCUAUCAGCCGGGAAGAAAAUGACGGUACCUGACUAAUCAGCACCGGCGAAAUACGUGCCAGCAGCCGCGGCAAUACGUCGGGGGCCAGCGUUAUCCGGAGUUACUGGGGGUAAUGGGAGCGUAGGCGGUUUAGCAAGUCAGAAGUGAAAGCCCGGGGCUCAACGCCGGGACUGCUUUUGAAACUGGUGAACUAGAUUGCAGGAGAGGUAAGUGGAAUGCGUGGUGUAGCGGUGAAAUGCGUAGAUAUUAGGAGGAACACCAGUGGCGAAGGCAGCGUGCUGGACUGUAAAUGACGCUGAGGCUCGAAAGCGUGGGGAGCGAACAGGAUUAGAUACCCGUGUAGUC
rnacentral:rRNA from 1 species